rnacentral:misc_RNA from 1 species
CAGGCAUACAACGAAGAAAAAAGCGCUUGGCUCAUCUUUGCCGUUGCUGGUGGUCCCGUUUCUGCUUCGUUUUUCUUCCUUUUUGAAAAAGCCUUCUUCUUUUUAGGCGAAAGGGGGAAGGCGGCGUUUGGUGUGGAACCCGUGCUCCCGGCUUGGCGUUUGCCAUCUCAAGCUGGGCCUCGGUGGCCGACAUUGUUUUUUCAGGGUGCGGGGCGCCAAAGGCCGGCGGCCAUGCGCGGGGUUUGCAGGGCGGGGAUGAAGUCUUUUUGUCUCCCGGAUAGAUUUUGGCUGAGGCAUGGGGCCCGCCUGGCGUCGCGGGUGUUGGGUGCUUUUUAAAGCUUUACUUCGGGGGCUGUGUGAUGGUGUGGUGUGUGCUUUUUGAUGUUGGUGUGCCGGUGUCGUAUUUUCCAAAUGUCCGCGAGAAACCUGGGGCCGACGGAAAUAGCAACCCGGGCUGCCCGACCACACGGGCAAAGGCGUCUUUGUCUUGAAAACGCCCAGCCUGCUGCUUAAAAAAGGUUCUAUCCAGCAACUGUCUGAACGGAUGAUUGUCUCUUGCCGUUGUCGAUUGCUGGUAGCACCCAUUGUGCUGGAAUUUGGGGUUCCCUAGGCCCCUUUUCCGGCACCCGUUUCAAAAGGGGGAAGGGGCUGUCGCCCAAGAGCCCUUUCCCGGCGACCCCGCCCACCAAAGCCAACGGCCGUUCUUCCUUGUGCCAAAAAAAGGCAAAAUUUCGGCUCGCCAAAUCUUAGGGUCUAGGGUGACCGCGGGCGGUCUCCCGAUAACAAAAGGCAAAGGCACCUCGGUAAAAAAGAUGAGCGACAAUAACAUCUUUUGUUUCUGUGCGCAACUGGAUAAAGGGACUUUUGCGCGAGCCACAAAAAAAAAGAAUAAAGAUGCGGUGGGGAAAUUUUUCAGCAGCAAAGCUAUUUUCAGGCAUUGCUUUCCGCUUCCAUUUCCUCGCGGGGAGGGGGGCGGAGGAGAGGCAGGAUUAUCAUGAAAGCCAAAGCGUUUGUGAGGCUCUGCAAGUGGUUGUUUUUAUUCCACCCUCAAACCCUUUUAUAAACUACACUAAAUCCUCUUCGUGGUGUUCGCCGCGUUUUCGGCCGAACGGCGGCCCCAUCAAG